UACGUAGGGGGCGAGCGUUGUUCGGAAUCACUGGGCGUAAAGAGCACGUAGGUGGGUUGGCAAGUCAUGGGGUAAAUCUUUCGGCUCAACUGGAAGACUUCUCGUGAAACUACCGAUCUUGAGUAUGGGAGAGGAAGGUGGAAUUCCGCAAGUAGCGGUGAAAUGCGUAGAUAUGCGGGAGAACACCCGUGGCGAAGGCGGCCUUCUGGCCCGAUACUGACGCUGAGGUGCGAAAGCGUGGGGAG
rnacentral:rRNA from 1 species